GAUGAACGCUGGCGGCGUGCCUAAUACAUGCAAGUCGAGCGAACAGACGAGGAGCUUGCUCCUUCGACGUUAGCGGCGGACGGGUGAGUAACACGUAGGUAACCUACCUAUAAGACUGGGAUAACUUCGGGAAACCGGAGCUAAUACCGGAUAAUAUUUUGAACCGCAUGGUUCGAUAGUGAAAGACGGCUUUGCUGUCACUUAUAGAUGGAUCUGCGCUGCAUUAGCUAGUUGGUAAGGUAACGGCUUACCAAGGCAACGAUGCGUAGCCGACCUGAGAGGGUGAUCGGCCACACUGGAACUGAGACACGGUCCAGACUCCUACGGGAGGCAGCAGUAGGGAAUCUUCCGCAAUGGGCGAAAGCCUGACGGAGCAACGCCGCGUGAGUGAUGAAGGUCUUCGGAUCGUAAAACUCUGUUAUUAGGGAAGAACAAAUGUGUAAGUAACUGUGCACGUCUUGACGGUACCUAAUCAGAAAGCCACGGCUAACUACGUG
rnacentral:rRNA from 1 species